rnacentral:snoRNA from 1 species
AGUCCCUGAUGACAACACUUAUUUCAGUUCUGCUACUGAAAGCAUGUGAUGAUACACCUAUACCAAAAAAAAACUUCUGAUUC